rnacentral:rRNA from 1 species
AGUGAACGCUGGCGGCAGGCCUAACACAUGCAAGUCGAACGGCAGCACAGUAAGAGCGUGCCCUUACGGUUGGCGAGUGGCGGACGGGUAAGAAAUACAUCGGAAUCUACUUUUUCGGGGGGGAUAACGGAGGGAAACAUACGCUAAUACCGCAUACGACCUACGGGUGAAAGCAGGGGAUCUUCGGACUUUGCGCGACACAAUGAGCCGAUGCCGGAUUAGCUAGUUGGUGGGGUAAAGGCCCACCAAGGCGGCGAACCGUAGCUGACCUGAGAGGAUGAUCAGCCACACUGGAACUGAGACACGGUCCAGACUCCUACGGGAGGCAGCAGUGGGGAAUCUUGCACAAUGGGCGAAAGCCUGACCCAGCCACGCCGCGUGGGUGAUGAAGGUCUUCGGGUUGUAAAGCCCUUUUAUUGGGGAAGAACAGCAGUAGGUUAAUCCGCCGCUGUUCUGACGGUACCCAAAGAGUAAGCACCGGCUAACUUCGUG